rnacentral:rRNA from 1 species
GUGGGGAAUUUUGGACAAUGGGCGCAAGCCUGAUCCAGCAAUGCCGCGUGCAGGAAGAAGGCCUUCGGGUUGUAAACUGCUUUUGUACGGAACGAAACGGUCCUGGUUAAUACCUGGGGCUAAUGACGGUACCGUAAGAAUAAGCACCGGCUAACUACGUGCCAGCAGCCGCGGUAAUACGUAGGGUGCAAGCGUUAAUCGGAAUUACUGGGCGUAAAGCGUGCGCAGGCGGUUUUGUAAGACAGGCGUGAAAUCCCCGGGCUCAACCUGGGAAUUGCGCUUGUGACUGCAAGGCUGGAGUGCGGCAGAGGGGGAUGGAAUUCUGCGUGUAGCAGUGAAAUGCGUAGAUAUGCGGAGGAACACCGAUGGCGAAGGCAAUCCCCUGGGCCUGCACUGACGCUCAUGCACGAAAGCGUGGGGAGCAAACAGGAUUAGAAACCCUGGUAGUCC